rnacentral:rRNA from 1 species
GUAGGGAAUAUUGGGCAAUGGUCGCAAGACUGACCCAGCCAUGCCGCGUGCAGGAAGACGGCCCUAUGGGUUGUAAACUGCUUUUAUCAGGGAAGAAACCCUUCUAUGCGUAGGAGGCUGACGGUACCUGAGGAAUAAGGAUCGGCUAACUCCGUGCCAGCAGCCGCGGUAAUACGGAGGAUCCGAGCGUUGUCCGGAUUUAUUGGGUUUAAAGGGUGCGUAGGCGGACUAAUAAGUCAGGGGUGAAAGCCGGUAGAUUAACUAUCGAAUAGCCUUUGAAACUGCUAGUCUUGAAUACUGUUGAGGUAGGCGGAAUGUAUCAUGUAGCGGUGAAAUGCAUAGAUAUGAUACAGAACACCGAUUGCGAAGGCAGCUUACUAAGCAGUGAUUGACGCUGAGGCACGAAAGCGUGGGGAUCAAACAGGAUUAGAAACCCUGGUAGUCC